rnacentral:rRNA from 1 species
AUGGGAGUGGCAAGUCGAUCCAGUAGCUUUAUCUCAACAAUUGUGCCCUCCGUCCCACGGUUGCACUUGGCCGCUUUGACUAGUCUAAAUUUUUUUUAUGUGCGUAUUACAGAAAAUGAGUUAAGGUGCCUCUUUUCCAGUUCAAUUGCUUUGGAGAAACUGACACUCAGGUCCUGCGAUGAAUUAUUUUUCCUGGAGAUACCUAGCCUGUUGCAGCGGCUUAGCCACCUGGUUGUCGAGGAUUGUAGAAAUCUGGAAGUGAUAAAGAGCAAAGCCCCUCAUCUGUACAGUUUUGGAUAUCGUGGUACCCUAGUACGACUAUCACUUGGUGAUUCAUUGCAAAACCUAUACAUUGAUGCUUCAGAUCAGGACGUUGUUCAUCAUGCUUGUGCCGAUCUUCUGCACGUGGUGCCAAAUCUUGAAGCUCUUGAAAUAUAUUCGUAUCAUCCGAUGGAUACACUGGUGGUACCUGGCAAAUUUCUCCACCUCCAACGACUAUGUAUCGGGUUUUUUACCACAGACUAUGAUUAUUUGUCUCUGGUUUCUUUACUCGAUGCGUGUCCUUCCUUGGAGACUUUUGUAUUGUCCGUAGAGCCAGAUCGCGUGAGGCAAGAAACAGUUUUAGGAAAUUCUUCUCAUAAUCUAAUCCAGAUGCCAGGCUACAUGCAUAGGAACAUAAAGGAUGUGCAUAUCAUUGGCUUCUGUUCUGCAAACAGCAUGGUUGAGCUAACAUGCCAUAUACUUGAGAAUGUGAAGUCGCUUGAGUACCUUACACUGAGCACCUCUGGGGAUGAUGAAAUUUUGUGUUCUAAAAGUGAAAAUGGUACAUGCCUUCGAAUGAACAAGUAUAUGAGGAUGGAAGCCCGCAAAGCACUCUUGGCCGUGGAAAGACACAUUUUGGGGAAAGUUCCAUCUACCGUAGAGUUAGAAGUUGUGAAGCCUUGCAGCCGGUGCAAUACUCUUUAA